UACGGAGGGUGCAAGCGUUAUCCGGAUUCACUGGGUUUAAAGGGUGCGUAGGUGGGUUAGUAAGUCAGUGGUGAAAUCCCCGAGCUUAACUUGGGAACUGCCAUUGAUACUAUCAGUCUUGAAUACUGUGGAGGUUAGCGGAAUAUGUCAUGUAGCGGUGAAAUGCUUAGAUAUGACAUAGAACACCAAUUGCGAAGACAGCUGGCUACACAAAUAUUAACACUGAAGCACGAAAACGUGGGGAUCAAACAGG
rnacentral:rRNA from 1 species